rnacentral:tRNA from 1 species
AGUAAAGUCAGCUAACUAAGCUACUGGAAUCAUAUCCCUGAAAUGAAGGUAAGUCCUUCUUUUACUA